rnacentral:rRNA from 1 species
GACGUCCUGCCGGUGGCGGACCGGGCUGGCGGAUGUGUGUAGGUCUUCCGAAGCACUCUGUCGGUUCCGACCGCCGAUCCAAUCCCGCCGCGGUGCUCUUCACUGAGUGUCGAGGUGGGCCGGCACGUUUACUUUGAACAAAUUAGAGUGCUUAAAGCAGGCUGAUUUCUGCCUGAAUACUGUGUGCAUGGAAUAAUGGAAUAGGACUUCGGUUCUAUUUUGUUGGUUUUAAGAACCCGAAGUAAUGAUUAAUAGGGACAGGCGGGGGCAUUCGUAUUGCGACGUUAGAGGUGAAAUUCUUGGAUCGUCGCAAGACGUACCUAAGCGAAAGCAUUUGCCAAGUAUGUCCUCGUUAAUCAAGAACGAAAGUUAGAGGUUCGAAGGCGAUCAGAUACCGCCCUAGUUCUAACCAUAAACGAUGCCAGCCAGCGAUCCGCCAAUGUUCCUCCGAUGACUUGGCGGGCAGCUUCCGGGAAACCAAAGCUUUUGGGUUCCGGGGGAAGUAUGGUUGCAAAGCUGAAACUUAAAGGAAUUGACGGAAGGGCACCACCAGGAGUGGAGCCUGCGGCUUAAUUUGACUCAACACGGGAAACCUCACCAGGCCCGGACACUGGAAGGAUUGACAGAUUGAUAGCUCUUUCUUGAUUCAGUGGGUGGUGGUGCAUGGCCGUUCUUAGUUGGUGGAGCGAUUUGUCUGGUUAAUUCCGAUAACGAACGAGACUCUAGCCUACUAACUAGGCGUUUCUGGUAUCCACAAUAGUGCUACCAGCGAACAAAUUUCUUCUUAGAGGGACAGGCGGCUUCUAGCCGCACGAGACUGAGCAAUAACAGGUCUGUGAUGCCCUUAGAUGUCCUGGGCCGCACGCGCGCUACACUGAAGGAAUCAGCGUGUCCUCCCUGGCCGAAAGGCCCGGGUAACCCGUUGAACCUCCUUCGUGCUAGGGAUUGGGGCUUGCAAUUGUUCCCCAUGAACGAGGAAUUCCCAGUAAGCGCGAGUCAUAAGCUCGCGUUGAUUACGUCCCUGCCCUUUGUACACACCGCCCGUCGCUACUACCGAUUGAAUGAUUUAGUGAGGUCUUCGGACCGGUGCGCGUUAAGCGCCUGGUGUGAUUUUCGC